rnacentral:tRNA from 2 species
GCGGAUGUGGCGAAACUGGUAGACGCACCAGAUUUAGGUUCUGGCAUCGAGAGAUGUGGAGGUUCGAGUCCUCUCAUCCGCACCA